GCCCGGAUGGCGAAAUUGGUAGACGCAAGAGACUUAAAAUCUCUCGACCUAUGGGUCGUGCCGGUUCGAUUCCGGCUCCGGGCACCA
rnacentral:tRNA from 1 species